UAGACUUUUGAGCAAGAGAAUGGUUGAGGCUGGGAUGUGCAUAGCACCUAUUCUACCUUUGGCCUUAUUGGUUCUGUCUUCAGUCAUGGUACCACAACUCCAAUAUGUGUGUUAUUUGUGAGUAGCGUGUGAUUAGGACCUGAACUAGUUUCCUUUUGUCUCCGACUUCAUUGUCUACAGUAUUUUUUUAUUGUGGUCCAACUGCACACACUGCCACAACUACCCAAAACCAAGAGAUAAGAUCCACUAUUUCCUCUGACGUUAUCACCCUAUAUAUACCAUUAUACCACGCACUACAUAACCCUCUGCACUCUCCUUUAGGCAGGCCAGUGUUAUAUGAAAUCUGAAACCAGACUGGUCAAAAACUGUGAUCACAGUAUCACCACUUGUACUGACCACUUAGUUUUAGCUACAAGGGUAGUAGUGUUGUGUUGUCUUGGCCUAAAAGGACUCGGGGAGUGCCAGGUCCCUAGUUUAUCUCUAUCUAGACCAGGGUUUGAGCUGCUAGGUCAACUUGGCAGGCACCAUUUUCUUUGGCCAGAAGUGGAUCUUGGAAUCUCAGCUCACGGACAGAAACAAAAACAAGGGAUUCUGCAAAUCUGACGUGGAUACUUUACUGCAUAAUCAACUGCAAACUUAAAUAAACAAAAAAAAAACA